rnacentral:rRNA from 1 species
AUUGAACGCUGGCGGAAUGCUUUACACAUGCAAGUCGAACGGCAGCACGGACUUCGGUCUGGUGGCGAGUGGCGAACGGGUGAGUAAUGUAUCGGAACGUGCCCAGUCGUGGGGGAUUACGUAGUGAAGAUUACGCUAAUACCGCAUACGAUCUAUGGAUGAAAGCGGGGGAUCGCAAGACCUCGCGCGAUCGGAGCGGCCGAUAUCAGAUCAGGUAGUUGGUGGGGUAAAGGCCCACCAAGCCAACGAUCUGUAGCUGGUCUGAGAGGACGACCAGCCACACUGGAACUGGGACACGGUCCAGACUCCUACGGGAGGCAGCAGUGGGGAAUUUUGGACAAUGGGCGAAAGCCUGAUCCAGCCAUUCCGCGUGCAGGAUGAAGGCCCUCGGGUUGUAAACUGCUUUUGUACAGAACGAAAAGGUUUCUACUAAUACUAGGAGCUCAUGACGGUACUGUAAGAAUAAGCACCGGCUAACUACGUGCCAGCCGCCGCCGUAA